UGAUGAAUUUGAUCCUCGUGGUCUUGCAUCAGAGGUUUAGGUGGGACUGUGAGGUUGCUACACUAACUGUUGGUUUGAAAGUCGGGAGUAGAUUGUGUGUUUAUAGUUUUCCUUGCACGGCUCUCAUUACAAGUGGAGUUUUCAUUUCAAAACCUGUUUAAGUCCUGAGUCUGUAUAUGUUGCGCUCUUAUAGCUAUUUAUGUGGUCUUAUCGUCUUAUACUCUUCUUAGUUGGCAUAGCAUUUAGAAAAUUGUUGACAGUAUCUGUUAUAAUAUGCUGCAGUAUGAUAAAGUAGUUUAGAAAGAAGUGUCCUGGUUUAUACAGUUAUAACAUUCUAUGUUCAGUUAGUUAGAUGUUCUAGACCAUAUGUAUAAAUACUCAGCAUGGUAGUUAUGAUCGGGCCCAGGUUGACUCUGGCCCAAUAGAACCACUAGCCCAAGAUGCCAUCAAGAUCUAGGAAAUGGAAGGUUUAUGUUAGAAGGAAGAAAAGGGAAUGUUAGAGUAAUGAGCUGGCAGGGGAGACAAAAGAAAGGGAAUUCGUUACAAAUAAAUGUAAUUCAGUUACAUAAGGGUGAAUGGAGAACUUUAGUUCUCUGUAGGAGCAGUGUACUGGGCACUAGGAUCUUAUCCUCUGUAAACAACUCCACUGUAAUAUUUUCUCUCACAAACAUCUUUUCUUUUAUGCUUUACAGCUCCUGGUGGCCAACUGGUACAGCCGCCUUUUUCGUCCCCCAACAGUCAACAUCCACAGCAACCCUUUUCAGCUCAUGGUGGUCAACCUGGACAACAAUCGUUUUCAACUAAUUAUGGUCUACCUGGACUGCAACCCUUCCCAGCUCAUGCCGGUCAACCUGGUCAGCAACCCUUUUCACCU
rnacentral:lncRNA from 1 species